UUUUUAUUGAUUCAUUAUUAACACUUUAUUAAUGCUUUAUUAAUGCUUGCCGGCAUAUAUAUUGAAAUAUCCUCAAGUAAUUGUUUGCAAAACAUUGAAACAGUGGAAGAGUAUUUAUACUACACAUACAGUGAAACAAAAUGAGUUGCCCAUGGGGGGAGAAAAUUCUAAUAAUUUUGUCCAGAGACAGGCUUGUCAAAAACACUCUAGUCCUCUCCAGAAGAUAGAAUAAACAUUUUUGGACCAGUACAUUGGUGUGAAAACACUUCUAAACAUAACCAACAUUUUCAGACAUAGUGACAGGAGCAAUUAUGAUUAUCAACCUUGCUUAAGUACAAAAUUACAAAUGUUUCCUGGCUUGAGAUUUCAACUAAUAGGCUAUCUGGUUACUGGUCUGGUUACUGGCCAGAUGUUCUAAUCACUAGCCAGUGUGGUUACUGAUUAAAUACUCUAACCCACAGGCAAUCUGGUUACUGGUCAGAUAGGCUGCGAGUUAAAGUAUCUAGUUACUGGUCAGAAAGGCUGUGAAUUAAAGUAUCUAGUUACUGGUCAGAUGUUUUGCCACUGAGACUUUCAAAAAUAGAUAUGGUGAACCUGAUUAAACAAAUAAUACAAAAUUAAUUGUCCAUUCUUAAUUGAUCAAAUUGACUCAACAUCCAAUGUAUUUUUGAAAAGGGUGUAGACCUCUACAUUAACCAGCCAGAUUAAAGAUUAAAGUAACAUUUUCGAAAGAUAAAGUGCACGAUUUCUGGCAACAGGUUGUCAAAUUGCCACUGUCGAGCCAAGAAUUGUCCGUGAACAUUUUCUACUAUUGUCAUGUACUUGCUGAUUUGUGCCCCAUGUCAUCAAGAUCAUUUCAAACUUGGAAUGUAAAAGCUAACUGAGGCAUGGUAGGAAUUCUUCUACAAAUUACACACAUAUAAACAACAUAUUACAUGCUUUUUGUUAAUCGCAAAACUCCCAGACUGAAUCUUAAGGGGAGGGUCUGUAACCUUCUCACUUAUAUUUAUUCACAAUAUUUUGAUGAUCCUUAACCAUGGUGUCAUCUAUAAAAGGUUUUUUAAGUAUUCAGAAACAUCUUCAGUGUUCAGUGAUUCCAAAAUGGCAAAAUAAAUGUUUCAACAUUCAGUUCAGCUUGAUAUCGUAAUUGCACAAAACAAAUAUGGGACAAACAUAGGACUAAUCGUAUUUAGCUGAUUCAUUUAGAGAUUCAAACACUAUGCAGGACAGUUGUUUUUUAUUCAACAUUUAUAUGAAAUACAGAAAAUAACAUAUUCAACUAAGAAAUUCCGAAAAUGGUAUUCUCUAAAUUUCUCUUAAAACUGUACCCCAUUUCAGCCACACAAAACAAAUCUAGAUUUAUGGCAUUUGUAAAUGAGCUAGUGACAGCAUUUUCUAGAUCUUACACAAUGUUAUAGCUAAACCUUCCUUACGUAGGGAAGACGAGCUUUACAGAAAACAUCCCUGUUCAAAGUGUGAACUGGCGGUGCAGCUCACCCCCCUCCCCGCCCUCUCAGGCCAGGCCGCCUCCGUGUUUGCUCAUCUAAUUACAGGGGAGUGGCUGACUGACGGGCCAGCCGUCCCAAAAAAACCCUCCAGGCUAGGGGCUGGGAACGCAACAAACACCCACCCAGCACUGUCUCCAAAAUGUGACGGCAGCAACGUCCAACUGUCAUGGGGGAGCCUUGACUGGCAAAACGCGAAGGCCCAAAGAGAGAUAUUAAAGACAUGAGAGGAAUUGGCAGCGUCGGCACUAACAGGGGGUACACUUGAGAAGUCGAAGCAGGGAGCUGUGGGCAUCGCCAAAGUGUCAGUCAAAGGAAAGUGGGGUUUGGAAAAGGCACAAACACAGACUGACUCACACAGGAGCACUUUUCUCUUUCACUCUCCUAAAAGACAAUAUAUUCAGAAAGGGUAGAGAAGGAAAACCAACAAGGAAAUAGUUUACUGUUAUUGUAUUUCAGACCACAAAGUAUAAAGAUAAGAAGUGUGUCAGUGAGUGUUUGUGUGUGUGUGUGUGUGUGUGUGUGUGUGUGUGUGAGUGUGUGCUCACCUUUCUCACAGGGAGGUAUAAUCCACUGGGGGUUUAAAUGCUCCACUGCUGUCAGGAGGCCUGACAGAAUACCUCAGGGAGCCUGGUAGCUGACCCCCAUCCAUAUUCAGGUCUGACAAACAAAACAGACCUGCACAGGAGGUUAACAUGGAAAAACCACCACUUAACUGGCUCUCUCUCCCAAGGCCUGAGAUCUCAUCAAUCCCUCUAACACUCACCUCACCCUGAGAGGCAAGACAAGAAACCAUUUGAUAGGAAUCAUGAAUAAUCACAGUUGUGCAAGCGCGCUGUGCCCAUUUCUUAAAUGCAUUAUGGGGAUUACACACAAAAUCACACAAUGUAACAUUUUCAAAUGUGUUAUGAAUGCUUCCCGGAAUCCAAUUCAAAUCCUAGGUUACCAAAUAAGCCUGAACAAAUCCUCCACAUUGAGUUUUUACUCCUUUGAACUCUGUAACGGAGAGGUCCAGUCUGCAGGGCAGGUUUUACCAUGCCAGGCACAGACAGACCCCUCAACCCCAGGAUAGAGAUUGGGCUAGCCUAACACUGGGAGGGUGGGGGAGAGAGAGGGCUAGCCUAACACUGGGAGGGUGGGGGAGAGAGAGGGCUUGCCUAACAGUUGGAGGAUGGGGGAGAGAGAGGACUAGCCUAACACUGGGAGGGUGGGGGAGAGAGAGGUCUAGUCUAACACUGGGAGGGUGGGGGAGAGAGAGGUCUAGUCUAACACUGGGAGGGUGGGGGAGAGAGAGGUCUAGCCUAACACUGGGAGGAUGGGGGAGAGAGAGGUCUAGCCUAACACUGGGAGGGUGGGGGAGAGAGAGGUCUAGCUUAGCACUGGGAGGGUGGGGGAGAGAGAGGUCUAGCUUAGCACUGGGAGGGUGGGGGAGAGAGAGGUCUAGUCUAACACUGGGAGGGUGGGGGAGAGAGAGGUCUAGCCUAACACUAGGAGGGUGGGGGAGAGAGGUCUAGCCUAACACUGGGAGGGUGGGGGAGAGAGAGGUCUAACCUAGCACUGGGAGGGUGGGGGGGAGGUCUAGCCCUAGCACUGGGAGGGUGGGGGAGAGAGAGGGCUAGCCUAGCACAGGUAGGGUGGGGGAGAGAUGGCUAAGAUUGCACAGGGUGGUUGGGUUAGAGCGAGGGCUAGCCUAACACUGGGAGGAUGGGGGAAAGAGAGGGCCUCACUUAGAAAGUGAGUUACUUGAGAGAGAAAAAGAUAGGAAGAGAAAAUAAGAGUGAGUGAGAGAGAGAACUAGCAUGCCCUGUACAUGUAUGCUCAGGUCCACAGGAUGGCUGGUUGCAGAAGGUACUGCUGCUUGGCAGUUAAGUAAGCAAAGAUAUAUUUAUUUUCACACUGCUUUUGGCUGGAGGGUAAGUCAGCCUUACUAUUAGUCAACCAGGUUGUUGUAAAACCAAACACACGAGUUUGAGUACAAUGGACUUGAUGCAUGAAUAGCAUUAAAAAUAUUGGCAUGACAUAUCAUCAAUUAAAAUCAUUUUAAUAUAACAUCUUAACACUCAUGAGUCACACUCAAGAGCGAAUAUUGAGGCAUUGCUCCUACAGUGACCUUAUGAACAGAAACAAAGUAUGAAUCUGGCUUCACCUUGAGUUUUAUUUUUUAUCCUGUAUAAUUUGUCCUUGUUGGAUUUCCACGGGUCUUGACUUUGCUCCCUCAUUUAGAUGGUCUGAAGGAGAGUCUAUUAAAUUGAUUCCAUGUGUUUGUUGCAGAGGCUCUGUGCAAACAAAAGACAAACAAUUACAGCACUGAUUAAUAGGCAUGCAAUAUUACGGCUGGAGCCACCUCAGCACACACUGAGCCCACAAACAUAUACUGUAUCGCCUCAGUGACUACCCAGCUUUAUGGAGGAGAAUACCAUUCUAUAAGUCUAAUACCCAUACAGUCAUGACUAUUACAGUGCUACCAUUUUAUGAGAAUGUUAUCAUAGAUAGCAGAUUUCUGAGAUAAGUCAAUACAGUAACCAAGUGAGAACACCAAUGCUGAUACAAUUGGGGGGGUUUUUCGACUUAAAUUUCAGCCCUAGAAAUGAAAUAUGCUCUAGAUGACUAAGUAUAUAUAAGACUCCGGGAAUUAUAAAACAACAAACAACAGAUACAACUUUUCAAGAGCAUACCUUAGUACCAGUAGUCUAGAUCAUUAUACCUAUCAAAUUUUAGCCAUGUUUUCAUCCUAUCACUACCCAUCUGUUCACACUCAUUGAAAACCCCACAUCAAAUCCUGAAUAAAUAUGGUAGAUAACAGUUUGCAGAUAGUAGAACUUCAACAACAGACAGUUUGUGAUUCUAUACAAUAUGAUUAUUAUGCAAAAUAGUAAAUAGACUCAUAUAUUUAGUACAUUAAUAAAAUAAAAGCAAUCGC
ensembl:lncRNA